UUGGCUGUGACAAGACCAACCCGGUUAGGUUUUGGGCUGGUGAAGAGGAAAAAAGAUCAGUAUUCUGUGUUCCAUUUCCACUCUUGUCGAAGCAUUCGAAUAAGGUCAACAGUGCUUCAACACCUUCCCAGAACCGGACCCCUGCUGUCAGUAAACUAGCAAUUGUCAACCAUGAAAACACUUGCCAAACAGAGAAUUUAUCUUCCACCAAGAAGAAAUCAAGGAAGCAGUUCUUUUCAGGGACAUUUGCAGGUUUAAUAAAUGCCCUAUGCAGUGUU